rnacentral:rRNA from 1 species
UACGUAGGGCGCAAGCGUUGUCCGGAAUUAUUGGGCGUAAAGAGCUCGUAGGCGGUUUGUCGCGUCUGCUGUGAAAACCUAAGGCUCAACCUUGGGCUUGCAGUGGGUACGGGCAGACUAGAGUGCGGUAGGGGUGACUGGAAUUCCUGGUGUAGCGGUGGAAUGCGCAGAUAUCAGGAGGAACACCGAUGGCGAAGGCAGGUCACUGGGCCGCAACUGACGCUGGAGGAAGCGGAAAAGCAUGGGGAGCGAACAGG